rnacentral:rRNA from 1 species
UCAGGAUGAACGCUAGCGGCAGGCUUAACACAUGCAAGUCGAGGGGCAUCGGGAGUAGCAAUACUUGCCGGCGACCGGCGCAAGGGUGCGUAACGCGUGAGCAACAUGCCCGUAUCAGGGGGAUAAUCCAUGGAAACGUGGUCUAAUACCCCAUAGUAAUUAUGUAAGGCAUCUUAUAUAAUUUAAAGCUUUGGUGGAUACGGAUUGGCUCGCGUGACAUUAGCUGGAUGGUAAGGUAACGGCUUACCAUGGCUACGAUGUCUAGGGGUUCUGAGAGGAAGGUCCCCCACACUGGAACUGAGACACGGUCCAGACUCCUACGGGAGGCAGCAGUGAGGAAUAUUGGACAAUGGAUGGAAAUCUGAUCCAGCCAUGCCGCGUGCAGGAAGACGGCCCUAUGGGUUGUAAACUGCUUUUGUAUGGGAGCAAUAAGGGCUACGUGUAGUCCGAUGAGAGUACCAUACGAAUAAGCACCGGCUAACUCCGUGCCAGCCGCAGC